GCAGGGGUGGCAGAGCUUGGUCAAAUGCGCUGGCUUGAGGGGUCAGUAGCUUUAGUGCUUGCGUGAGUUCAAAUCUCACCCCCUGCACCA
rnacentral:tRNA from 1 species